rnacentral:RNase_P_RNA from 3 species
AGGGUUUUACGGGUAAUCGCUGCUAGACGUAGAAAUACGUUUAGGAGAGGAAAGUCCGAGCUUCAAAGAGCAGCACAUGGGGUAACUCCCCUCGGCCGUAAGGUUAGGAACAGUGGAACAGAAAGAAUAUCCAAGGCUAUGAGCCUGAUUUCGGGAACGGGAGAAAUCAGGGGAGUCGGUGGAGUGAAAACAGCCAAACUCUGUGCGAAGCAAGAUCAAAUAGGGAAGCGCAAUCGCUGAAAGUUUUCGAAAGAUGAUUUCCAGAGAUUUAACGGCGGCUCGCCGAAGACUUCCGGGUCAGAUCGCUUGAGCGUUUAAGUAAUUAAACGCCUAGAGGAAUGAUUACCAACUUACCAAAGGAAUGUGGGAACAAUGGUAAGUAACAGAACUCGGCUUACAGUAAAACCCUCCCA